rnacentral:rRNA from 1 species
UACGUAGGGACCAAGCGUUGUUCGGAUUUACUGGGCGUAAAGGGUGCGUAGGCGGUCGCGCAAGUCGGAUGUGAAAUCUCAGGGCUCAACCCUGAAACUGCAUUCGAUACUGCGUGGCUAGAGUGUUGGAGAGGAGACUGGAAUUUACGGUGUAGCAGUGAAAUGCGUAGAUAUCGUAAGGAAGACCAGUGGCGAAGGCGAGUCUCUGGACAGCAACUGACGCUGAGGCACGAAGGCCAGGGGAGCAAACGGG